GAUAUUUAUGAUCUUUGUAUGCUUGGAUAGUUUUGUUUUGAAAUUAUAUGUAAAUUUUUGUGUGUUUAUUUUAUUCUUAAGGAUUAAAAUUUAUAUUUGCAAUUUUUAUUUUUGAUUUUUUGGUAAUUCAAGAUUCAGUUAAUUAUAAUUUGAGUUGUAAAAAGUUGUGCCAGCAUACGCGGUUACACCUCUGUCUCUAAUUAUCCUUUUCGAUAAAUAUUUAUAUUUUUAUUUAUGAAGGUUAUUUUAAUUUUUUUAGGUGAAAUUUUAAUUUUAAUUUUUCUUUUGGUUAAGAUUAAUAUGAAAGUAAUUUUAUAAACUAGGAUUAGAUACCCUAUUAUUUUUACUGUAAUUUAUAUUCUUGUUAUUAAUAGUUAUGUUCUUUAAAUUAAUAAGAUUUGGCGGUAAUUUAAUCUUUUCAGAGGAAUCUGUUCUUUAAUUGAUAAUCCACAAUUGGUUUUACUUUAAUUUUUUUUGUAUACCUCUGUCAUUGAAUGUCUUAUUAGGGUAUUUUCUGGUUUUAUUAUUUAUUUAAUGUCAAGUCAAGGUGCAGAUAUAUUAAAGCUUGUAAUGGAUUACAUUUAAUUUAUUUAUUGGUUAGGAAUUUUUUACUUUUUCUUUAAAAAGGAUUUGAAUGUAAAUUUUAAUAAAUAUUAAGGUUGAUUUUGCUCUAAACUAUGUACAUAUCGCCCGUCACUCUCACUUUUAAGGUGAGAUAAGUCGUAACAAAGUAAUUUUAUUGGAAAAUGAAGUUGGAAUAAUUC
rnacentral:ncRNA from 1 species